rnacentral:lncRNA from 1 species
CGACCACCUUUGUCCUCCUCGUCCUCUAGGGCCCUCUGCGCCUCCUUCGCCGCCGCCCCCUCGUCGUCGUCGUCGUCGUCCUCGACCACCUCCGAUCACCGCUAGCCACCGCCAAACACCUCCUACCAUCUCCGUCCGACUCCUAGCACCCCCUGCCGCCGCUGGCCAACUCCUACCACCGCCGACCACCUCUUGCAAUCUCCUGCCAUUUCCGAACACCUCCUACCUCCCCCUGCCUCCUCCGACCGUCGCCGAUCGCCUUCUACCGCCCCCUGCCACCUCCUGCCAUUUUCGAACACCUCCAACCACCUCCGACCACCGCCGACCUCCUUCGUCCUCUUCAUCCACCUCCUCCACACCCCGUCGUCGUCCACGUUGUCCUCGUCCUCCUCGACCUACUCCGAUCACCGCCAACCACCUCCAAACACCUCCUACAUUGACUGAAGCAUAUAAAGACAGUUGCCCUGAUGAGCUUUGGUGUGACAACCGAAAAUCGUCGUGCGCUUUCGCUCCCUGAGAUGUUCCAACUGUAGAGUUGAGAACUUAUUGCAGAACAUCAGAGGGUUACCGAUUUCGACAUGAUGCUGGCUGCAUUCACCUUCGGAGUCACACAGUCUUCGCAAUGAAAAUGACGUCACCAAAAUCCGUCAGUGACGUCGACCGCCAAAAUUCCUCAGUCUGGAAACAACCGCGCAGUAGAGCGGACGGAUGAGAGUCGCGCUCCGCAAAUUUCGAGUACCGGGUUCUCAACCUCCCGGAUCCUGCGCUUCGGAUCCGCUACGUGGUGAAACUCGAGUUCCAGGACAAGUGCUCCGUAGUUUCUGCGCUCCGGGUCCACUACCUAGUGAAACUGGACUUCCAGAACAGGCACUCCGUGGUUUCUGCUCUCAAGGACAAGCGCUCCAUGGUUUCUGAGCUCAAGGUCGCUGGUGAAACUUGACUUCCAGGACAAGCGCACCGUGGUUCCUGCGCUCAAGGUCGCUACCUGGGAAUACUCGACUUCCAGGACAAGCGCUCUCUAGUUUCUGCGCUCCAGGUCCACUACCAGUGGGAACUUGACUUCCAGGACACGCGCUCCGUGGUUCCUGUUUCAUGUUUACGGUGGUCGAAGGUGGUAGGGGUGGUUGCGGGUGAUCGAGGUUGACGAGGAGGGGGACAAGGAGGAGGAGGAUGAGGAAGACUUGGAAACCAAGGUGGACGACGAGGAUGAGGAUUUAUGCACGAUCCGCUACCUGGUGAAACUCAACUGCAGAGACAAGCGCUCCGCGGUUCUUGCGCUCAAUGUCCACUACCUGGAGAAGCUUGACUUCCGGGACAAGCGCUCCGGGGUUCCUGUUUCAUGUUUACGGUAUAACCCGAGGUAGUUAUCGGUAGGUGUUGGAGGUGGUUGGCGGUGGUUGGAGGU